AACCCGGACGCUAGUUCGGGUGGAGCCACUCUUGAAAUACCACCCUGGUAUGUUUGAGGUUCUAACUCAGGUCCCUAAUCGGGAUCGAGGACACUGUGUGGUGGGUAGUUUGACUGGGGCGGUCUCCUCCCAAAGAGUAACGGAGGAGCACGAAGGUGUGCUCAGCAUGGUCGGAAAUCAUGCGAAGAGUGUAAAGGCAAAAGCGCGCUUAACUGCGAGACAGACACGUCGAGCAGGUACGAAAGUAGGUCUUAGUGAUCCGGUGGUUCUGUAUGGAAGGGCCAUCGCUCAACGGAUAAAAGGUACUCCGGGGAUAACAGGCUGAUACCGCCCAAGAGUUCACAUCGACGGCGGUGUUUGGCACCUCGAUGUCGGCUCAUCACAUCCUGGGGCUGAAGCCGGUCCCAAGGGUAUGGCUGUUCGCCAUUUAAAGUGGUACGCGAGCUGGGUUUAGAACGUCGUGAGACAGUUCGGUCCCUAUCUGCCGUGGACGUUUGAGAUUUGAGAGGAGCUGCUCCUAGUACGAGAGGACCGGAGUGGACGAACCUCUGGUGUUCCGGUUGUCACGCCAGUGGCAUUGCCGGGUAGCUACGUUCGGACGGGAUAACCGCUGAAAGCAUCUAAGCGGGAAGCCUCCCUCAAGAUGAGAUCUCACUGGAACUUUAAGUUCCCUAAAGAGCCGUUGAAGACUACGACGUUGAUAGGCAGGGUGUGUAAGUGCUGUGAGGCAUUGAGCUAACCUGUACUAAUUGCUCGUGAGGCUUGACCAUAUAAC
rnacentral:rRNA from 1 species